AACGAACGCUGGCGGUGUGCCUCAUACAUGCAAGUCGUACGCGAAUCCUGCCGCAAGGCAGGGUUUGAGUGGCAAACGGGUGCGUAACACGUAGGUAAUCUUCCUUUGAGUUGGGGAUAAGCCCUCGAAAGGGGGUCUAAUACCGAAUAACACUUCGGGCCGGCAUCGGCCUGAAAUUAAAGAUGGCCUCUGCUUGCAAGCUAUCGCUCGGAGAUGAGCCUGCGGCCGAUUAGUUAGUUGGCGGGAUAAAAGCCCACCAAGACUUCGAUCGGUAGCCGGUCUGAGAGGAUGUCCGGCCACACUGGGACUGAGAUACGGCCCAGACUCCUACGGGAGGCAGCAGUAGGGAAUAUUGCGCAAUGGCCGCAAGGCUGACGCAGCAACACCGC
rnacentral:rRNA from 1 species